UGCAUGCAAGUAACUCUGCUCCCCUUUGCUUGAAUUCUUACCUUGAGGGCCUGAUCCUGCAACCCUUCAUAAUACGGAUAACCUUUCUGCAUUGAGGUAUCGUCACAUACAGAGGAUUUGCAGAUGCACAGCCUUUGUCCACACUUAGAGCACUGUGAGGAUUCCAGUCUCUUCAUAUUCACCUGUCACCAGUUACGAGUGCCUCAGAAAUAGAGCCAAAAAGACUAGAGCUUCACUGCUAAUAGGAGAGCGGGGCUGACUCACUACUGCUAAAGGAAUGGAACUUUAAACUGUGGCUUGGAUCAGCUGUUGGAAGGAGUCAUCAGAGAAGAUGAAAAGGCUCACUGUCAGCUGAGAU